CUCGGGUGAAAUCUGAAAGGUGGUCGACCAUCGUAGAAAUUUGGAUGGAGCCUGAUUACCGUAGAAGUCCUACUGUUGGAGAAGCUCGAACAUUGACGAAGUCUGAAAGAAGUUUGGAGUAAAGUCGUUCGUGGCCGGAAGAAGUCUGGAAGAGAUUCGGAGAAUAGUCGAUCACUGUAGAGAAUCGGCUGAUAGUGAAGUUCAGAGAGCAUUUGGGACAGUCUGGUAGAUGAAUGGAGGAGCUCAUUAUUGAAGGAGUUCGGAUGGCAUUGUAGAAGCUCAGACACCGGAGGAGUUCGGAGAGAGACACCGCAUAAGGUCGGAAGCCAAAAGAACCCAGAGAGGGUCGGCCUUUUACGAACUUCGGCUGGAGGUAUUUUAUACCCAACACCAGUCCCCCUACUUUCGAGUUUAGAUUCUGAAUGAAGGAAGUA
rnacentral:lncRNA from 1 species